rnacentral:rRNA from 1 species
UACGAAGGGGGGCUAGCGUUGUUCGGAUUUACUGGGCGUAAAGCGCACGUAGGCGGAUUUGUAAGUCAGGGGUGAAAUCCCGGGGCUCAACCUCGGAACUGCCUUUGAUACUGCAAAUCUCGAGUCCGAUAGAGGUGGGUGGAAUUCCUAGUGUAGAGGUGAAAUUCGUAGAUAUUCGGAAGAACACCAGUGGCGAAGGCGGCUCACUGGCCCGGUACUGACGCUGAGAUACGAAAGCGUGGGGAGCAAACAGG